rnacentral:rRNA from 1 species
AGACAACCAGGAUGUUGGCUCAGAAGCAGCCACUCAUUUAAAGAGUGCGUAAUAGCUCACUGGUCGAGUGAUUUUGCGCCGAAAAUUUAACGGGGCUAAACUGUACACCGAAGCUUGGGAAUAUACCUCUGGUAUGUUGGUAGGAGAGCGUCGUAUGCGGGGUGAAGUCGUAGCGAAAGCGGCGGUGGACUGCAUAGGAGUGAGAAUGCCGGAAUGAGUAGCGAGAAUUAUGUGAGAAUCAUAAUGGCCGAAAGACUAAGGUUUUAGAAGGAAGGUUCGUCCGCUUCUAGUUAGCCGGGAGCUAAGGCGAGGCCGAAAGGCGUAGUCGAUGCACAUACGGUUGAGAUUCCGUAGCCACCUUAAAUUUAAACUAAGGGACACAUUGAAAGGGAAUAACCCAGGCGUUGGUUGACCUGGGCGUAAGGGAACGAAAAUAAGUAGUGAAGUAUUCUUGGACAGUGGCGAGAAAAGCUUAGUGUAUAUAGUUAGGGUGCCCGUACUGCAAACCGACACAGGUAGUCAGGAAGAGAAUUCUAAGGCCAUCGGGAGAAGCGUUGUUAAGGAACUCGGCAAAUUGACCCCGUAACUUCGGAAUAAGGGGUGCUCACGCGAGUGAGCCGCAGUGAAUAGGUCCAGGCAACUGUUUAUCAAAAACACAGCUCUCUGCUAAAUCGUAAGAUGACGUAUAGGGGGUGACACCUGCCCGGUGCUGGAAGGUUAAGAGGAGGAGUGCAAGCCCCGAAUCGAAGCCCCAGUAAACGGCGGCCGUAACUAUAACGGUCCUAAGGUAGCGAAAUUCCUUGUCGGGUAAGUUCCGACCCGCACGAAUGGUGUAAUGAUCUGGACACUGUCUCAACAACGCACCCGGCGAAAUUGUAGUACCGGUGAAGAUGCCGGUUACCCGCGGCAAGACGGAAAGACCCCAUGGAGCUUUACUGUAACUUAAUAUUGGGUCUCGGUACUUUAUGUACAGGAUAGGCGGGAGACUUGGAAACUAGCACGCCAGUGUUAGCGGAGUCAUCCUUGGGAUACCGCUCUUAAGGUAUUGAGAUUCUAACCUGCAGCCUUGAAUCAGGUUGGGGGACAUUGUUAGGUGGGCAGUUUGACUGGGGCGGUCGCCUCCAAAAGAGUAACGGAGGCGUUCAAAGGUUGGCUCAGCAUGGACGGAAACCAUGCUCUUGAGUAUAAACGCAUAAGCCAGCCUAACUGCGAGACUGACGGGUCGAGCAGUAACGAAAGUUGGAGUUAGUGAUCCGGUGGUAUGUGAGUGGAAAUGCCAUCGCUCAACGGAUAAAAGCUACCCUGGGGAUAACAGGCUGAUCUCCCCCAAGAGUCCACAUCGACGGGGAGGUUUGGCACCUCGAUGUCGGCUCAUCGCAUCCUGGGGCUGAAUUCGGUCCCAAGGGUUUGGCUGUUCGCCAAUUAAAGCGGCACGCGAGCUGGGUUCAGAACGUCGUGAGACAGUUCGGUCCCUAUCUGUUGCGGGCGUAAGAGAUUUGAAGGGAGCUGUCCUUAGUACGAGAGGACCGGGAUGGACGUACCUCUGGUGCACCAGUUGUCCUGCCAAGGGCAUAGCUGGGUAGCUAUGUACGGACGAGAUAAACGCUGAAAGCAUCUAAGCGUGAAACUCCCCCUAAGAUGAGAUCUCUCAUCCUUUAUGGAGUAAGGGCCCAGAAAGACGAUCUGGUUGAUAGGCCGGAGGUGGAAGUACAGCAAUGUAUGCAGCUGACCGGUACUAAUAGCCCGAGGGCUUGACCUA